ensembl:lncRNA
GGUAUAUGUCCGUUACGUUUAUGGGGGGGGGUCAAUUAAGGAAGACAUCCUCUUUCGCAAACCACUGGAAAGCAGGACAUCAGGAGAGGAUAUUUUUUAAGUAUUGGACAGCUAUGUGACAUCAAAUGGACUUUGGUGGUCAAGAUGUGUUGGUAUCUGUACUGAUGGCACAAAAGUCAUGACAGGGAGACAUAGUGGAGUGGUAACGCGCAUGCAAGCAGUUUCUCCCGACGCCACUGCAUCAUCCACCGAGAGGCUCCUGCUGCCAAGGGAAUGCCUGAUAGCUUAAAAGACGUUUUAGACACUACAGUGAAAAUGGUUAACUUUGUUAAAGCAAGGCCCCUGAACUUGUAUAUUUUCUGCAUUAUGCAAUGAUAUGGGCAGCGACCAUGUAACGCUUUUACAACAUACAGAAGUGCGCUGGUUAUCAAGGGGCAAAAUAUUCACACAUUUUUAAUUAAUUGAGAGACGAGCUUAAAGUUUUCUUUACUGACCAUAAUUUUCACUUGUUUGACCGCUUGCAUGAUGACGAGUUUCUCACACGACUGGCCUAUCUGGGUGAUGUUUUCUCUCACCUAAAUGACCUGAAUCUAGGAUGACAGGGACUCUCCGCAACUAUAUUCAAUGUGCGGGACAAAACUGAGGCUAUGAUUAAGAAGUUGGAGCUCUUCUCUGUCUGCAUUAACAAGAACAACACACAGGUCUUUCCAUCAUUGUAUGAUUUUUUGUGUGCAAAUUAACUCAAGCUUACGGACAAUGUCAAAUGUGAUAUAACGAAGCACCCGAGUGAGUUGGGUGAACAAUUACGCAGGUACUUUCCCAAAACGGACAACACAAAACAACUGGAUUCAAUAAUCCCUUUCAUGGCCUUCCUCCAGUCCACUUACCGAUAUCUGAACAAGAGAUCCUCAUCCAAAUUGCAACAAGCAGUUCUGUGAACAUUGUAUUUAAUCAGAAGUCACUGACAGAUUUCUGAAUAAGGCUGCGCUCAGAGUUUCUUGCCUUGACAAGUCACACUGUUAAGACACUGAUGCCCUUUGCAAUCACGUACCUAUGUGAGGGUGGAUUCUCGGCCCUCACUAGCAUGACACCUGAAUACAGGCACAGACUGUGUGUGGAAAAUGAUUUAAGACUGAGACUCUCUGACAAUUACAACCCAACAUGUCAGAGUUAUGUGCAUCCUUUCAAGCACACCCUUCUCAUUAACCUGUGCUGCUCCAAAGGAGAGGCGUAGGAGUCCUGCCCUCAACUCCCACCUGAGUGACACUCGCUUGGGCUCUGCUGCUCGGCUCUAACCCCCCCCUCCUCCCCUCCUAGCUCCUCAAACAAGAAGAUAACACAGCUCUCGUAUCACCUCCAAGAGGAGAGAUUUGGCCUCUGUCCAAGAGAACCAACGAAGCAAGAAAACCACUGUCUAGACACUUAAGAUGAACGAAAGGAAGGAAUGCCAUGUUUGACAGGAAAUCCUAAAAAGGGCUUUUCGCUGGUGCCGAGCAAGUAGAGGACGCUGUAGUUCAGACGAUGGAUACGUUCCAAAUGGCACCCUGUUCCCUAUAUAGUGCACUACUUUUGACCAGGUCCCAUAGGGUCUCUCAUCAAAAGUAGUACACUAUAUAAGGAAUAGGGUGCCAUUUGGGACGACAAUCAAUGUCAUUGUGCUAGAGACCGUCUUGCCAAAUCCUCUUUUCUAGAAGCAGUAAAUGGAAUGUUAAUAACAUGAAUCUUAGUGCCGGACUACGACGCUCACUUGAAAAGACAACAAUCAGUAGUCCUUCAUUACUAAGGUCCUAUACUCAUUACUAAGAGACUAUACUCAUUACUAAGAGACUAUACUCAUUACUAAGGUCCUAUACUCAUUACUAAGAGACUAUACACAUUACUAAGAGACUAUACUCAUUACUAAGAGACUAUACUCAUUACUAAGAGACUAUACACAUUACUAAGAGACUAUACUCAUUACUAAGGUCCUAUACUAAUUUCUAAGGUCCUAUACUAAUUUCUAAGGUCCUAUACUCAUUACUAAGAGACUAUACUCAUUACUAAGAUACUAGACUCAUUACUAAGAUAUUAUACACAUUACUAAGAGACUAUACUCAUUACUAAGGUCCUAUACUCAUUACUAAGAGACUAUACUCA